UUUGGCUCUUGUGCAAGGGAACACACACACACACACACACACACACACACACACACACACACACCACACGGAAGAAAAUAAAAAAAAAAAAAACCAAACUAGUAAUAAAGAGGUAGUCUUGGAAAGAGAAGUGUAUGUUCGUAUAUUAGGCCACCUUGGUGGUGUUUUUUUCUGUGACAGAAUUCCAAUAGGGCCACCUAAAAGCUUGACAAGUACUCUGCUACUUUGAACUACAUUCCUGGUCCCAAACCCAGUAUCUUUACCAAGGCCAAGCUAUUGUGUUUCUAUUCAGCUGAGGACACCAUAAGAGCCCUGCAUGCAAGUCUAGUCCAAAUUCAGAGACUGCAUUCUGCUCUAGCUGCGCCUCCAGCAGGCUGAGCAACAAAUGGUAGGUAUUUAUAACAUGAAAAAGAUGAGAAUGCUAGUCUUUUGUAGCUCUUCAUCUCGCUUACAUUUUGUGCAUUUCUAGGCCAAGGAAGACUCACUUAAAAAUCCAUGCUUGGAAAAAACUGUUUUAAGUGUCAUCUACUACAUGGGCAUCGCUGCGCAGUUUGCCCUUUUCAGUAAACACCAACAGUGAAGCUGAGACACUGGUCUUUCCUGAGCCCUGGAGAAGAUUUGCCAAAGAAACUUACUUCUAAAGAAGCCAGUGAUCUCAUAAGAAUGAUCAGCAGGGUAAAUCAAGUCAAAAGACUUCGAUGCUCUACAAUGUCCAGCAUCCAGAGCAGAUGUGCCCCAACCUCCUGUGAUUCACAGAUACCUGUGAUGACAAUUGCAUAGGACCCAGGAGUAGCUGUUCUGACCAGACAUCACUCCUUCACUGGAUGGCGCCUUUAGUAAGUGUGAAUUGUGGGGCCAGGAAUAAUGGUGCAUGCCUGUAAUCUAAGCACUAGGAAGGCUGAGGCAGGAGGAUUGGGACUUUGAGGCCAGCCUAGGUUACGUAGUUUGAGACUAGUCUGGGCUAUACAGUGAGACUCUGUCUUAGAAAUUCUGACUAGCUUUAUUCCUGGACUUAGGGUCAGAUCCCAGGUUCUAGAAGCCCUAACAAGC
rnacentral:lncRNA from 1 species